ACUCAGCUGAAGAGUUCCAAAUGGGACGAAACUAGCAUCCUGGAU
rnacentral:hammerhead_ribozyme from 1 species